AGGAGGCUGACGGCCGCGAUUAUGGCGGCCGGGAAGCCGCAGGGCGGCGCGAAGGACAAGUCUGGCCGGCAGCGCGCAGGAAAUAAGCAUUCGACUUUCCUUAAGAAUGAAGAUGCUGCUCAAAGGAGAGUAGCUCUGGAGGCUGCUCUGAGAAAGAAGAUUGAAUUUGAAAAGAAAGCAUUGUAUAUUGUUGAACAACUCCUGGAAGAAAACAUUACUGAAGAGUUUCUUCUGAAUUCUGGAAAAUGCAUUACUCCAUCACACUACAAAGACGUUGUUGAUGAACGGUCCAUCAUCAAGUUAUGUGGUUAUCCUCUGUGUCAAAAUAAACUGGAAAAUGUGCCAAAACAGAAGUACAGAAUUUCAACAAAAACGAACAGAGUUUAUGAUAUCACUGAAAGAAAGUGCUUUUGCAGCAACUUUUGCUACAGAGCAUCUAAAUAUUUUGAAGCUCAAAUUUCCAGAAGUCCAAUAUGGAUGCGAGAGGAAGAAAAACCACCAGACAUAGAGCUGCUGAAGGAAGGACAGAGUGGACAGUCUGGAGAAGAAGUGAAACUAUGUGAUGAAGCAAUUAAAGCAUCUGACAUUGAAAAUCCUGGGAUAUCUUCAAACCCAUAUGAAUCUGGUUCUCAUGACACAACCAGUGACAGCAGUAGUGAUACUGAACAAGAAUUUGUUUCUUCUGUCCUACCAGGAAGUCAGUCAAGUUCAGACAGUUCUGCACAGCAGUUGCACAGAAAGAGCAUCCUCAAAAACAAGCAUGCUGAGAAAGUCUAUUCCAGCCUGAAAACUGAAGGCUCAUCUGUGAUAGAAGCCACUGAACAACUUUCUAAUUUACAAUUAAAUGCUCAAGAAGAAAUGCGUGCUCACCCUGUUGAUCAUAAAACAACUGCAAUGCCUUUAAAAAGUACUACUCUAGGGAAAUCAAGUUCAGAAAGCUAUGAAAGUACCUGUGGUUCACAGAUAGUUUUUCUAGGUGUGAGCAAAAGAGGGGCAGAACAUCUUAAAAGAGCACUAGCUAACUUACAAGAACGUAGGAAACCUGAAGUGAGGCAUCCAGUUAAUUACAAAGGCAGUUUAUUAGAAGUGCUCAAGCAAACGCUUAUGGAAUGGAGAACUGAGGAAACUUUAAAAUUUCUCUAUGGCCCAAACUAUACUUUGUGUUCAUCAGAGGGUGUAUCAUCUCCCAAACAGGAAUAUGAAGAACUUGAUGAGGAUGACUUGGAUGUAGCUGAUGACCUUAACACUGUUGCUGUAGGGGAGUCUGAAAACAGUUUGAACUAUUCUUUACCUUUCACAGGCCCAGGUGGAAUAGUUAAACCUCUACCUAGUUAUGAAAAGUUAAAAGAAGAAACAGAGUUUCUGGAACUGCGAGUAAAGGAAUUCUAUAAAGGGAAAUGCAUCUUGGCUGAAGAGGUGAUGACACAUGCACAAACAGAGGAACAUCCAAGCAAAGACCAAGAUGAUCAGCAGGAAGAUCUCGCCUUCCCACUUGUUGAUUCAAACGCACAAAUGCAGAUUAGAAAGCGAAUCGUCCUUGAAAAACUGAGGAAAGUAUUGCCUGCAGUUUUGGGUCCUCUCCAGGUUGCUCCAGGUGAUGUUUACACAGAGCUAAAAAACCUUGUCAAAACUUUCCAGUUAACAAACAGAAAUAUUAUUCACAAAAUGCCUGAAUGGACUCUAAUUGCCAUUGUUUUGGUGUCCGUGUUGUCACACAGUACUCCACUUUUCAAGAAUAUUCAGACGAGCCCAAUGUACACACAGUUCCUGACUACGUUGCUGGAAGAACUGCAUUUCAAAAGUGAAGAUCUGGAGAGUUUAACAAGGAUAUUUAACAAGGACUGCCUACUUGAACGAUUAAGGUGACCGUCUUAAUAUUUCCUGCCAUCUGAAAUAGCGGCACAGAGAACAAAAGAACACCUUCAAUUGUUGUAACUUUUUUAAACAUAAGAAUGAAAUUGAGUAUUAAUUGUACUUCUUGCAUUUCUACUUCUUCAUUUCCUUCCUAUGAAUAAGAAUUUUGAAGUCACAUGGAGAAGCUGACAGUGACAGCAGUUGUUCAAGGUAUGCAUUAGGGAAAAACACCCAUUGUGAUCAGUCUGUGUCUGAUGGCAAACUCAUAGGAAUGCAUGAUGUAGUCUGAUGUACCAUGAUGGAAAACUUUCUCCUUGAUACAUAUGCAAAGAAGGGUCAAGACCUCACCAAAAGAUAAGCUCUUAGAAGACAGAGUAAUAGCUGUGAUACUCUGACCAAAAAAACUUGAAUUUACGUUCACCUGCUUCUGAUUUUGGAAGGUAAAUGUAUUUUUAGCUACUGUACAUUCUGAGCUAGCCAUUAUACUGUUCCAUGUGCCUUUUCCUUGGGGCAUAAAGAUCACAAAUACCCCCUGACAAUGCCACUGCAUUGAGUACACCUAGAAGGUAUUACAAAUGUACAUCAUACCAGGAAUAGGACUGUGUUUCAUCAGGUUUAAUGUCUCUCAUUUGGAAAGUUUUUACACUUCCUGUCAGUUUAGGGGUGUGAUUUUUUUUUUGUUAGUUAUUUUUAGGCUUGGUCUUCAGCACUUACUGUGUAGGAAACGUAUGAUCUUGUACUAAGAGUGAAUAGGUCACAAGCCCAAAAGACCUCUUUAUCAGAGUUCAUUGCAGCUGCUUUUACUCUCUGCCUUAACAGCUCAAAAAAGUAAGCUCCCAGGAUUUUUGCAUCUCCUCCUUGGCUGCUGUGUAGUAAGCUCACUCAUUCUUUUCCUUGCCCUAAGAGAACAGAAUAGCCUUUCUCCUCCUAUGACCUCUUCACCAGAGCAGAAGAAUUCUAUAUAUGCUGGAAGUGUUGUGAAGGGAUAUUCUUCUCUUAACCUUUAAUGAUUUCAUUUCCCUUAGAUGGGAGUACAACGUGUAAAUAAAUGCAGAAAGUAUGCAUAUACCAAUUACUUUUGAGUAGGAUAAAGGCUGUAGACUCAUCUCUAACGGAUCGUUUGUACUAUCAGCCUUAAGUGCUUGUGCAGAGAGCCUAACAGCACCAAAAACUAAGUUCAUCUAUGUAGUUUUCUUAUGAGCAUGUUUUGUAACAGCUUAGAAGUGUUCAAAUCUAGACCUCAUUUAUGAGCUUAAAGCCAACUUCUGCCACAGCUUUCUGUCCUUUAGCAGACUUUACUCUUCCUCAGCUCACAUGUGGACCCCUCCUUGUUUUGAUUGUGUUUAGAGACACGUUGUUUCCUUGUGGCCUUGCUGCUGUGCUGGCUGUUUUUCCUUCCUCCGGUAGUUGAGCAGAUGGGCAGUGUUUGAGCCUUAUUUCACAUGUGCAAAAUUGUAGUUACUGACUUGUGAGCGGCAGGCUGUAUGGACAUUAUAGAUCUGUGGCUUAGGCCUCUGUUUCUGAACACCUCUCAGAAAGGGGCAUGAGCUUGGUAAAGUUAUCAACUGCUUAGAUCAUAGCCGCAGGAGUCCGCUGCUGUGACAGCGUAAAACAUCCGAGCCUGUCCGGCAGUGGACUUGUAGCAGGGCAAAUAUGGUAUGAUGUGUUUCUUUUAAUAGGGGAAACCAGACUUCCACAGAGUUUUGUUUUUUUUCCUGACAUGUAUAAUGGAUACAGUAAAGAGUAGAAGAAUACUUCAAGUUAAAGCUUAGAGCAAAGCCUGCUUUAUGCUAUCAGAGCUUCUCAGCAUCAUAGGAGGAAUGUGACAUAUUCCUGCAUAGUGCAGAUACAGAUUUCCUACCAAGUUUUCUAUUGAUGAAGAGAAGAGUGUUCAUAAAACCAUAUACACAGAGAAAGUCAAACUGUUCAAAGUUAUUCAAAGCAGUCUUAGUGCUGCCCAGAGAGAUGGAGAGAAAGUGUUUGUGUCUAUUUUCACACCAAAUUUCAGCUCACAGCCUGUAAAUACAGUCAGUGUGCUUUGUCAUACUGGAUUUCCUCGCACAGAGCGUUUCACUGCCCGUUGACCAAGCUUGCUGAUUUCUCAUGGAUUUUGGAGGGAAGAAGAGUAUUCAGAGUGAUUCCCUUGAUAGUCACUCUUUCAAGAAAGUGGGCAAGUCAUAAUGUAACGUGUGAAUUAGCAAGUACUCAAAGACAUUACCUUGCAAAUCAUGUUAUGUGGUAAUGCAAAAUUCUACAUUGAAGCAAACAGAAGAGAGUUUGAUUUAUUUCACUGAAGAUUAUCAAAAAGUCUCUAUUGUGGUUUGGGGGUGGGGGGAGGAAUAACAGUCCUGUGAAUCUUGGUGUUGAACCUGCAUGCCCUAGUCUUCUCUGGCUUGUUUGAGAGAAGCUGGACUCUAGAAAAUGCAAGAGGGGAUGAGCAGCUCAGCUGGACACCAAGUCUCCACUGACCUUUAACUGCCAAAGAGAAAAGAAGAAAAAGGAAGAGAGAAGGGGAAAGCAGUAUUCACACUUCUAAAUUUAGGCAUCCAACCUUAGGUAUGUGCCUGUCUUCAUUUACUUCAGAGAGAAACAGUGCUCUUUAAUUUCUCCAAACCAUGCUUCAAUGCAAUGAAUGGAGUGGGUGGUGUUAAUGGCUCUGCCCCUGUUCCCUGGUGGCAGAAAGCAAGCAGAAAAGUCACCUGAGAAUGUUGGCUGUUGUGAACCGGUUCUCCUUGAAGUGAUUUAUUCAUAAAGCAUGGCACAAAACCGAAUGGGGAUGUUACACUGUAGUUCUACAGUUUUCCUCUCAGCUUUCCAUACUUUCUGUUUAUUUCUGUAGUUGCUUAUGAACAACCAGCACAGUGGGUGGGGUUUAGCUUGAUCUCACUGGGGUAACAGGUAAUACUGAACUGUCAUUUCCACUGAGCAUUAAGUAUUAAAUAUUGAAAACACAGAAUCAGCCUCUCUUUAGCAAGUCUUAAGUUUCCAUAAGCAGCAGAUGGUACACAAGGCAGGGCUUGGCAUCUAUAAAGACCUCUGUUUCUCAACUGCAUAUCUCUGCCACCUGACAGCCAGUUGUCCUCUGAUUAGAGUCAGAGGAAGUGGGUGUGCCCAGGCAGAAAGUAAAAGGAAAAAAAAAACUUAAGUAGCAAAGACAGAAAGUAAUAUUGCUGGAGACUUUUUGUCUUGUGAGCUUUCUUUUUGUGACUCUUCGACUCAGAACCGCAUCUCUGCACAGGCUGCAGACGGUGCUCUGGGAGAUGGGCUGACUGAAAGAUGCUGUAGAACACAAACUGUGGCAUUUGUGGUGCUAAACAGGAUUUGGUGAGGUGAAGGGAGGGCUGGAAACCUGUCUCUUCAAAUAGCUUUCAUUUGAGCACUCGAGUUCAAAAAGCAAGUGAAAGCAUGAGUUGCCUCAGUGGCUGAUCUGGACUUGUGUGCUAAACAUUAGUCCUUCCCUCUUGGUUGCUUGCAGCUGUAGAGCAAGCAGCAAGGCAACCCAGAGUUCUGGGAAAAAUAGAGAAGACUAGCCAAAAAGUGUGAGAAACAAGCACAGGCCUUUUUAAACCCUUCUUGCCCUAGGAAAUAGGCGAUACUGUGAGAUACCUUUUGGGCAUUCUCCUCUGAACAGUUUCCUCAGUACAGCAUCAUGUUUGAGGCAGCUUUAAUGGUUGUGGCAGGGCUGGAAAGGCCAGGAACUUUCUGACUACUGUUUGAGGUCUAUAGUCCAGAUUUAUCUUCACCCUGACUUUGUGACCAUAGUUGAAUGAGCAGACUUAAGUCCUACACUUAAGAAGACUUGUCAGUCAGAAUAAUGCAGGAAAUGUGGCCCCUGUAACAUAUCAGCUCUUUGCUGGUUGUACUGUGCUGUCCUGCAGUUAAUCCCAAGACAACAGCUCCAUAAUGAGUCCCUUCUCCAAAAACAGACUAAGGCUGGUACACUGAUUAUAAGACAGUCACAUCUUCCCCUUCUUAGACAUUAGUCACCAGAAAGCUUUGGCAAAGCCUUUAGUACCUUUUUAGAUGCUGUGAUUACCUGCAAGAGCUGCUUGCAAAGAUCAGAGAACAAAGCCAGGGAGGCUGCUGACUGUUAUAUCUUGCACCAUUGCAAUCCACAUCAAAUCAAUGCCAUUUCUGGCACAUUUUAGCCUCUUAAAUGUCAUGGGGUAAAUAACUGAAUUGAAAACAUAGUGGGACAGCAGCAGCUUCUUGGAGUCCUACAGUUUGAUUAGUCAUCACUACAGAGUUUGAAACACUUUGGAUGCAGCUUUAAUAAGCUGCAAACGAUUAGAUCAGGAUUUGCAUCAUAAAUAUUGCCUUUUCAUUCUACUGAAAUGGGAGUGCCUACAAAUCAGGUUAAUAUAAUUGAACAGUACAGCAGUUAAGUAACAAAAUAUAUCAAAGUUGGUAGUAUUACCUAGGAAGCCAGAACAACCCAGCUUACAGCUGCCAGCUAAGAUCUGACUCACCUAAGGUAUUUUAUAGCAACCAUAUGUUAGGCACAUCUCUCUCGCCUAUUAGGCAGAAAAAUGAUAACGUUUCCUAAUCAGGAUUUGCCACUGAGCAGGAUUUUCUGUAAACAUCUCAGUACUGCAAGCACUCUGCACAGUCAGGAGAAAGCCUUUUGCAGACACUCAGUUUGUUAAUUUAACAAAUAGAAUAAAUGGCUGCAAAUCUGUGGCCAGUACUGAUUCAGCAAAGCUGGCUGCAGUUCAAAGUGUAGGCAUGUUACUGACAUUAAAACAUCACACAGGGAUUCUGUGUUAGUAACUGCAGAAUACCUGCACUUCUUGGAAAAACAAGCCCUGGGUGUUUCAAAUUGAAGAUGUGGUCUUAAUCUCAGGAACAGCUAGUUGAUAAAUUAAGGAUACUUUCAUGGAGAGGGAGCAAACAAAGUCAGAAAGCCAGAGAGCCACAUCAGUACAGGAGACAGAGUUUAAAAUUAAGUUUGAAAAUAUUAAGAAGUCUUUUGCUAACAAUGCUGUUGGUGAAGUUACACUACUCUGUGUUUUAACAAAGGCAGACACUGUUGUAAACCCUGCUGGCUGUUUAUUUAUGAGCAAGUUUUACAUCCAGUUCACUUUUACACAGAAACCUGGCUGAGGCUACACCCCUCUGCAGUCUGACUUAGUCCUUGCACAAAGGUAGCUUAUGGAUCCAUCAGCCUUAACUCUUCCUAGGCUCCUGCUGUAGUAUCCCAGUAGUCUAAAGGAGUAAUAUGGGGGAUGGAGCUGCAGUCCCAACACUCCCUUCUGUUCUCAAAAGGGCAGUUGUUCUACCGCCUAAAGCUCUGAUGAUAAAACUCCUGUUGAUGCAAAUGAGAACAAACUGCUGUCUUGGUAAUGAUGUACCUUGUUUGGGAAUCACAGUCUCUUUAUUUUUUUUUUUAAGAGAAGUCCUUCACUUAAAAGCUUUCUUGAGUAUGUUCUUUUAACUGUGGGCUCUUACUGAAUAAAAACAAUAAAAGCAAAGUAGAUUUUUUUUGCUGCUGAAGAUCCUCAGUCUAUUGUAAAAUUUCACAACUAGAAAUACAGUUAAAUUGUUUCUCCCUUAAGAUAGUUUUUCUAGAGGGUGUGGGAAAACUGGGGAAGUUAGUGAUUUUACAGAUACUACACUAGCCCUCAAAGCUCUGAGUCAAAUACACAUCAUCUUUGCUAACUAUUCAUUUCUGAGAUCCUCCCAAGCUCUGCGUUUUUUAUACAGUGAACAUCUGAUGCUUCUUGUUUUUCUUCUGUAACCACAGAUGUGCCCUCUUCAAAAAACUCACAAUCUCAAAAUACUAAACUGACAAGCUGAGUGUCAAACCACACACCCCAAGCAGCAAGCAGUGCUGAAGAAAAACAGAAUCACGCUUGAAGAAAAGCAGGAGAAAUCACGCAAGUUGUUUCCAAAGAACGAAUGUGAAACAUUUUCAACGCAGUGGAGGCAUUGUUUCUUCAGAAUGCAAAUGCCAUUUGAUGCUUUUAAUUUUUGUGCUCACUUACUAGAUAAGCAGAGACUGCUCUCAGAAAGAAGACAUCAAUUUGAACAGUGCUUUGUAUUUUCUUGUUAGGAUGAGUUUUAUCUCUCUGACCUAAACUGGAGCCUUGCUCCAGGAUGCCCAAAAGCAGCCCAGGUGUUCCUGUGCAAGCUGGGUAAGCAAGGCCUCUUGACUGGGAACAUGUGGUUUGCGUGCACCACAGAGCCUCUCUGCAGCAGAGUCCCCAUGUGUUGCUUGCUGAGAGAACACCAGAGAGCUAGACAGGAGCUGUGCAAAGCUCCUGUUGUGAGCAAGCAGGCCCACAGCUGCCCAUUUGCUGUAGCAGGUCCCUACGUGACAGAAGGCCACUCAAGCACAGAGGAGUUAAGUGAUUUGUCCAGAUCUUCAUGGGCAGGCAGGACCUACAACUCUUUCAGCUGUAGUGCCUAUCUGUAAGCCAUCCUCCACCCACUGCAUGGACUGAUGUGGGACAAGAUUUGUUUCCCAGUGAUCUAGUGCUGAGGUGCCACAGAUUUUAACUCAGUGAUAAUGCUGUGAGUUAUCUAAACAGCCUCAUGACACUGUCCUGCAAAGAGUGAUGUGUUGAAGCCAUAGAAGGGGUCAUUUUCAUGAUGAAAAGAUAUGUAAGGCCAGCUAGCUGCUUGAUCAAACUAUCAGGCACUCUUCACGCUUUGCAGCAUGCCGUCUGUCACCUUGUCUCUACAACUACAAAUUUGCCAUAGCAAAAAGGAAAAAAGUUAAAAUGUAAAAGCAUAGUUACCUGUGUGUAUUUAGCUGCCUCAAAGACUCUCUGUCAAUACACAACUGUAAGUGCUGUUGGGCAAGUUUCAGUAAAUGAAACAUCCACUUUUUAAGCUGGUGAUUCAAAGGUAAAAUACUGACCUCCAGUUUUGGUACUUGACUGUGGGUCUGUGUAAGAGUAAUGCAGGAUUCUGGGUUACAUCAUUUAUAUUUUGAGAGUUUGAGCAAAAAAAA